rnacentral:rRNA from 1 species
GACGAACGCUGGCGGCGUGCUUAACACAUGCAAGUCGAACGGAAAGGCCCUGCUUUUGUGGUGUGCUCGAGUGGCGAACGUGUGAGUAACACGAGAGUAACCUGCCCUUGACUUUGGUAUAACUUCAGGAAACUGGUGCUAAUACCGGAUAGGUGCUCCUGCUGCAUGGUGGGGGUUGGAAAGUUUCGGCGGUUGGGGAUGGACUCGCGGCUUAUCAGCUUGUUGGUGGGGUAGUGGCUUACCAAGGCUUUGACGGGUAGCCGGCCUGAGAGGGUGACCGGCCACAUUGGGACUGAGAUACGGCCCAGACUCCUACGGGAGGCAGCAGUGGGGAAUAUUGCACAAUGGGCGGAAGCCUGAUGCAGCAACGCCGCGUGCGGGAUGACGGCCUUCGGGUUGUAAACCGCUUUCGCCUGUGACGAAGCGUGAGUGACGGUAAUGGGUAAAGAAGCACCGGCUAACUACGUG